CAUAGUAAGGAUAAAUGUAUAAAUGCGAAGCCACAUUUGAACACAUUUUUAUUUGUACGAUCAAAUCAAAUAAAAAUACAAUGACAAUGACAACGACCAGUCAUCUGAACAUCAAACGCAUCAACAUGACUGAUCAACAGCAUUAUUCUACACCUUUACACUCGUAUAUUGGAGAAGUACUAGACUACGUCAUACAGAAGAUGAAAUUAAACUGCUGGCUAACCAUAUGCAUACAUAUAUAUACAUAAUCAAAUUUUGAUUUGAUACCCGGACUUAGAUAUACUUGUACUUUAUGAUUGAAAGAAAGAUGAAAUAAGUUGUAGAGAGAGAGAGAGAGAGAGAGAGAGAGAGAGAGAGAGAUAAUGCACAAUUUAUAUGUGAUUGAACGUUUAAGAACAUCUCUCAAUUUUGAACUUUACCACCGGAUUGAACUUAAGCUUAUAUCUGAAGCACCUCACGGACUAUGACCUUAUACCCAGAUUGAACUUUAGAGCAACGCGCUAUUGAGCAUCAGCUAUUGUCUUUCCUUGAUGCGGCAUGAAGAGAGUUGGGUUCCUGUUGUUGCAGCUCAUUAACGAGUUGAGCCUCAAAUCAAUUCUCGAAGAGCUCCCGCAGCAGCUAUAGAAAA